GCGAGAAGAACGCAAGCAUUCACAGUGUCUCACAAGAAGGAGCCGAAAUGAGUACUGACGGACGCGCAGCCGGAACGGGAGAUGUCCAGCAACCGGGUGGUCAACUGCAGCUGGAACAGGACACACGAGUAGAAGAAG